rnacentral:rRNA from 1 species
AUGCUGAACUUCACUGGGAGCUCUGAGUUUUGGGCUCCCGGCAUUUUCUUUGUUCUCCACAAGGGGUGGCUCCACUGCAUAGGUCGCUGUACAGGAAGCGCAAGUUGCUCCUGCAGGCGAAGUGGACUUCAGAGGAAGUGGAAGUUGCUCCAGCAUUUUUUUUCUGUUCUCACAAAGCCCUUCUGGCCAAACUGCAUCUACGCAGGGGGAGAGGCAGAUUCUUGCCAGCGAACUGCAAGGCCAACCUUAGUUUCUGUUCAAUACACAAUCAAAAUCAAAAUCAAGGGGCGGCCGCAAGUGAACAUACAGCAACGCAGAAGUUAA